rnacentral:rRNA from 1 species
GACGAACGCUGGCGGCGUGCUUAACACAUGCAAGUCGAACGGAGUGGCGAAAGGGGGAGUAACACGUGGGGGACAUGCCCUGCACGUCGGGAAAAGCCUGGGAAACUGGGUCUUAUACCGGAAAGUGUGGGAUGGGCCCGCGGCCUGUGGGCUUGUGGGUGGGGUAAUGGCCUACCAAGGCGGCGACGGGUAGCCGGCCUGAGAGGGGGGACGGCAACAUUGGGACUGCGGCACGGCCCAGACUCCUACGGGAGGCAGCAGUGGUGAAUAUUGCACAAUGGGCGGAAGCCUGAUGCAGCGACGCCAGGUGGGGGAUGACGGCCUUCGGGUUGUAAACGCCUUUCACCAUCGACGCGGUAGAUGGAGAAGAAGCACCGGCUAACUACGUGCCAGCAGCCGCGGUAAUUC